rnacentral:rRNA from 1 species
GACGAACGCUGGCGGCGUGCUUAACACAUGCAAGUCGAACGGAAAGGCCCUGCUUUUGUGGGGUGCUCGAGUGGCGAACGGGUGAGUAACACGUGAGUAACCUGCCCUUGACUUUGGGAUAACUUCAGGAAACUUGGGCUAAUACCGGAUAGGAGCUCCUGCUUCAUGGUGUGGGUUGGAAAGUUUCGGCGGUUGGGGAUGGACUCGCGGCUUAUCAGCUUGUUGGUGGGGUAGUUGCUUACCAAGGCUUUGACGGGUAGCCGGCAUGAGAGGGUGACCGGACACAUUGGGACUGAGAUACGGCCCAGACUCCUACGGGAGGCAGCAGUGGGGAAUAUUGCACAAUGGGCGGAAGCCUGAUGCAGCAACGCCGCGUGCGGGAUGACGGCCUUCGGGUUGUAAACAGCUUUCGCCUGUGACGAAGCGUGAGUGACGGUAAUGGGUAAAGAAGCACCGGCUAACUACGUG